GCAGGCUCAUGUCUAUAUCAUUGCUGGUUCCUGUUUGUCCCUGGGUUUUCGAUUUGCUGGUUCAGAAAAUCUGGCCGCAUUUAACUGUUUGUUUGCAUUUGCAAAAGACUUCAUGAAGUGUUUAUCGUCAGCUACAGCUUCUAUUGCUGGACACUAUAAUCUAGAGACUUGUCUGAGUGUGGUAUUGCUUUCCCUUGCAAUGGUGAUGGCAGGAUCUGGGAACCUGAAGGUCCUUCAGCUCUGUCGUUUUCUACACAAGAAGACUGGUGGAGAAAUGAACUAUGGAUUUCAUAUGGCACACCAUAUGGCUCUGGGACUCCUCUUUCUGGGAGGAGGAAG